rnacentral:rRNA from 1 species
AUACGUAGGGUGCAAGCGUUAAUCGGAAUUACUGGGCGUAAAGCGUGCGCAGGCGGUUUUGUAAGACAGAGGUGAAAUCCCCGGGCUCCACCUGGGAACUGCCUUUGUGACUGCAAGGCUAGAGUACGGCAGAGGGGGGUGGAAUUCCGCGUGUAGCAAGGGAAUGCGUAGAUAUGCGGAGGAACACCGAUGGCGAAGGCAAUCCCCUGGGCCUGUACUGACGCUCAUGCACGAAAGCGUGGGGAGCAAACAGGAUUAGAUACCCUGGUAGUCCACGCCCUAAACGAUGUCAACUGGUUGUUGGGUCUUCAUUGACUCAGUAACGAAGCUAACGCGUGAAGUUGACCGCCUGGGGAGUACGGCCGCAAGGUUGAAACUCAAAUGAAUUGACGGGG